UUCAUCGCCUAUAGCUCUGGUCAGCUCGGACUAAUCCAAGAAACACCAGCGUAACAUUUCAAGGGAAGGGUCCACUCUUCAAAAUGCAUCCCACUUUUUAAUCCAAAACAACGAAAAAAUAGGGGAAAAAACGAAAGAUCCUCCUUUGUUUACAUCGGCGAUUCGAGUUAUAGUUAUCGACAGCGUCCGUUUUCGAAGAAAUAUCGAUUCUAAUUCGUGUUCUAGCUUUCAAACACCGUCUAUAUCAGGUAGAAUAGUUUCUUCCGAGUAAAAAGAGCCCUCCCUCGUCUCUCUCCUUCAAUCACAGGCGAUGUUAUAACCCUGAACAGACAGGGAGUCAGUGACUGGUUCAGCGAGGUGUCAAUCUGCGCACAUCAGAAAUGGGUGUUUGAAGCCAGCCAAUGCCUAGCCAGCACGGUUUUGAUGGAUGGAAGUGUUAGCCAACCAUAAGGACGUUUACAAUGAUUGACAGUUUGCAUAGUUUGCGUAACCAUGUUUACAGAAUAGCUCUGCGCAAAGUUCGUGUGCAUUCGUGCGCUCUCGGUUUACGCACGUAGCGUAGCACAGAGCGGCGCCGCGGCGCUACACGGAGUGUUUAUCAGCGAGCAGAUGCUCUCCGAAGCUUGCAUCUGAGUCUCUCCAUCACGGAUCCACGACUUUAGAAGUGUUUUUGUGGCGUUUGAUGGUGUUUUGGAGGACGUGCUGAGAAGUUUCGGCGAUGAGAGCAGCCGAAAGACACGCACGACAUGGACGAGAUGCACCACAGCCAGAGAUAGCAUUAGCACUGGGUUUGCUGCAUCCAGCUGGUCAGAGAACAAACCUUCUUAGUGGCUGCCUUGAGUGUCUUCCUACACAGUAAAUACUGUAAACAGUUGCUUUAGUUUUUCAGUAACAUUAUUUAUGUAUUACUAUAUUAGUAAUAUUAAUAAUAUUUAGCAGAUCUUUUUUUUUAUAUAAAUUACAAAUGUUGUAAAAUCAUUUUUUGUGUUUUCAUUAGUUCAAAAAUGAUCAAAUCUGUUUUGGUUCACUGUUUUCAUUAUUAGAAUUGUUCAAAAUAAAGACCGUUUAGUUCAAAUGUUCAAA